rnacentral:rRNA from 1 species
UAGGGAAUAUUGCAAAUGGGCGAAAGCCUGAUGUAGCAACGCCGCGUGUGCGAUGAAGGUCUUCGGAUUGUAAAGCACUUUUUGGAGGGAUGAGGAAGGACAGUACCUCCAGAAUAAGCCUCGGCUAACUACGUACCAGCAGCCGCGGUAACACGUAGGAGGCAAGCGUUAUUCGGAUUUACUGGGCGUAAAGCGCGUGCAGGCGGUUUGGAAAGUUGGAUGUGAAAGCUCCUGGCUCAACUGGGAGAGGUCGUUCAAAACUUCCAGACUUGAGAGUCGUAGAGGGAGGUGGAAUUCCGGGUGUAGUGGUGAAAUGCGUAGAUAUCCGGAGGAACACCAGUGGCGAAAGCGGCCUCCUGGACCACUUCUGACGCUCAGACGCGAAAGCUAGGGUUGCAAACGG